UUAAAUCGAAUAGUAAGUCAUGUGAAUAUUGGGAAUAUGAUCGUCGAGACUAAAUUAUUUGUUCAUUUUAUGGGGACCAAAGUCCAAAUAAUAUUCUGGGAACCUCACCUCAACAGUGAGCAACCGUGAGUUCAAGUUGUUCAACGGUGCGCUUAGUCUUAGUGGUUCGUUGUGAGUCUAAAUUGUCCAUGGUUGACCUUUUCUCGAAGACCCAGUUUUUCACUCCAUUGAUCCUUGUUGGCUUUCUCACUAAAUUAUUAAGCUGGGGGAUGGAGGGAAGAGAAGCAAGAACCCUUUGAGGAAACCGAAAUGGUCACAGUAAGCAAAGGAUGCUGUAGGCUGUCGAAUAGAAGUAUAAACUAGAUAAUCAAUCAGUUCGAAGUAUGAGCAUUUGUUCAAAAAACGGAAAGUUCAACAAACGAGGUGCCACUGUAUAUACAAUAGCUACAUAGCACAUCUGCCCAUGGUACAAUAUCUUGGGGUGUCAAAUUACAGUUUAACCUAAUCCAACAACCAAGAAGGAAGGAACAGCCAUCUUCUCCAGAAAAAUGAUACAAUAUCUGCAACCGAGAUUUAGAGCAUGCUUCAUGCACACAAAUUUUUUUAUUAAUCGUUAAUUUAAACCCUAUCUAUAGAAGUAAAAAUAUAUAUUUUUUAAAUUAGUAAAAAAAAAAACCAUUAGAAAAAAAAUACUGAAGCUGUUUAUGUUUAUUGAGUGCACUACCGUAAAUACCACAGUAUUGAGAGCUAUAUUAAAUGUAUCCAUAAACUUUUGGUUUAAUUUAUUUUUCUCUAUUUCUGCCUGGGACCAUGUAUAAUGACUUUUCAUUAGCUGUGUAAGAUCCAUAGACAAAAAUUCUCUUAGCAUUAUAUUCCUUAAAGUACCAUAAUGGGACUUUGGACAAUGCAUAAUCCUUAAUGGGAUCAGUUAUGAUUACCACAAUCUUAAUGGAACAUUCACUAUGAAUCUAAAGCAAUAACCCCAUUCUGCCUCUUCUAAUGUAAGCUGCAUUAGGGACUUCAGUAAUUCCAAAAUAAAGCUCAAAUAUGCAAUCACUUUAUUUUGUAUAAGGUCCACAAUAAUACAGUAUAUCAAUGGUAAACUUUGAGACUAUAAAAAUGUAUAAAAAGCUUUCGAACCCUAUCUUGGGUUCACCUUCAGAUGGACUAAAGAUGAACCCAGGAUAGUGUUCAAAAAACUUUUUAAACAUUUUUUUAAUAAAGUUUCACAUUCUACCACCGAUAUAUUAUUGGACCUUAUACAAAGUUACUCCUCUUCUUGGCAUUGGGAAUUCUACACAAUCACUUUAUUAUUAAAUACAUCAAAAAAGUUUACUGUAUGUAU